GUGAGCGGCAAAGCUCAAAUUUGAAAUCUAGCACCUUCGGUGUUCCAGUUGUAAUUUGAAGAUGGUAACCUUGGGUUUGGCUCUUGUCUAUGUUCCUUGGAACAGGACGUCAUAGAGGGUGAGAAUCCCGUCUGAUGAGAUGCCCAUUCCUAUGUAAGGUGCUAUCGAAGAGUCGAGUUGUUUGGGAAUGCAGCUCUAAGUGGGUGGUAAAUUCCAUCUAAAGCUAAAUAUUGGC
rnacentral:rRNA from 1 species